rnacentral:rRNA from 1 species
UUGAUUUCUUCGGAAUGAUUUUUAACUGACUGAGCGGCGGACGGGUGAGUAACGCGUGGGUGACCUGCCCCAUACCGGGGGAUAACAGCUGGAAACGGCUGCUAAUACCGCAUAAGCGCACAGAGCUGCAUGGCUCGGUGUGAAAAACUCCGGUGGUAUGGGAUGGACCCGCGUCUGAUUAGAUAGUUGGUGGGGUAACGGCCCACCAAGGCGACGAUCAGUAGCCGGCCUGAGAGGGCGACCGGCCACAUUGGGACUGAGACACGGCCCAGACUCC